AUGCUUCAGGAGCUGUAUCAUGGCAGGUUGAACUUGUCCAGACUAAACUAUGGUGUCAUUUCUCUACUGCCAAAGAUUAAGGAUGCUAAUAGUAUCCUACAGUAUAGACCCAUAUGUGUUCUAAAUGUUAUGUUUAAAGCUAUUACCAAAGCUCCGACACUUAGAUUUACUCCUCUGGCUCGACAAGUAAUCAGCUCUCUUCAGACUGGAUUUAUUCCUGGGAGGUACAUUUUGGAUGGAUGUGUAAUUCUUCAUGAAGUUUUGCAUGAGUUGAAAACCUCUCACUCUGAAGGAAUUUUGCUUCAGUUGGACUUUGAAAAAGCUUAUGAUAGAGUUCAGUGGCCUUUCUUGGCAGAGGUAAUGCAUAGGAAAAACUUCCCUGACAGGUGGAUAGAUUGGAUUAGACAAGCAGUGGAAGGAGGCAAAGUGUGUGUGAAUAUGAAUGGAGAUUGGCGAGAAUAUUUCUCUACUUUCAGAGGUUUGAGGCAAGGAGAUCCUCUUUCUCCUUUGCUUUUUCACCUAGUAGGUGAUGCACUAUCUGCAAUUCUGGAUAGAGCUAAGGAAGCAGGUGUGAUUAGAGGUUUGGUACCACAUCUGAUACCAGGGGGGAUUAGUCAUUUGCAAUAUGCUUCUGAUACUUUGCUUUUUUUGCAUAAUGACAUGGAGUCUAUUACUGGAUUCUAA
rnacentral:rRNA from 1 species